AAUAAUAAUGCAUUAUGAAAAACACAUGUACUUAAUUUUUAUAGCAGGAAUUGGAUAUAUGAAUUUAUAAAUCAAAAUAAUAAUUUAUAUUGAAUCAAAUGAUGUAAUAUGCACCAUAGAUGUGUGUGUCCCUCUCUUUCAAGCAUUGAUGUACAAUAACAUUCCGUCCCACAUGUAGACUCAUGCACAUGCAGUAUUGACCAGUAUUUAUAUAUAUAUACAUCUUCAGUCUUUGUUGAUCUAUAUUCUGCUAUAAAUAAAAAUCAUUUUUCUAAGUCAUG
rnacentral:sRNA from 1 species